CAUCCUGACAGCCCAUAGUAGGUCAGGCUAGUGUCAAGGCUCCAUGAGACAAAUGUUGAGGAGAUAGAGCCUUAACCAUGUGGAGGAGCCACAACCUUUCUAAAGGCUGGGAUGGGUCAUGUCUAGCCUUUUAUCUCCAUGUUUACUUCUUCAAACCACCACCGAGUUAGUUCCCUUUUGGAAGUCUGUACAAUGUACAGGCCUUUCUUCUGUCAGAGAAGGCCGAGAAAUAGCAAAGACCAGCCUUUGCCUUUAUCUCCUUAGAUAGAGGAGAAAUCCACAGUUAUGUGGAGUCGGAGGAGAGCCAAGCCUUUGACACUGUCCAGCUCUGCCUGCAGAGAGAGGCACCAGUAGGACCAGAUGACCAUGGAGGCCUGACCUGGGGCUGCCCGGCAGUAGUGGAAGCCCAGGUGCCCCAGAGCUGAGUCUUUCACAGGCACCCAGAAGGCUAUCCUUAAUCCCUCUGGGCCAAGUAGCAGCAAAGCCCAGGAGCUCCCUGAGGGCCAUAGACUACUCGGCUGUAUUCUGUUAUCCCUGCCUUUUCCUGGAAUGCCGAGGCUCACAAUGUAACUUCAGCUAAGAACACAAAUAUCAGUGUGGGGCAGCCUGAGCUGAGGAUUCAUCUGGGAGGAUCAACUCUAAGACUGAUGCUCUCACGAAGAUCUCAGGAAUACCCACAAAGGGUGCCUGUCCUCUUGCUCUUGUGUGGGUUCUGUGUCUUACAAACCCACUCUCCUGACCCUGCUUCUCAGCAUGCAUCACCCGUGUGAUGAGAGACCCACAAAUGCUACGCUCUACACUUCACCCUGAGGGGCUCCUCAGCAACCAGGACAACUGUGAGAGGCUGAGGGUGUCACUUCAUCUCUGGAAGAGCACACAAAGGUGGAAAUGAAGUAGCAGAACAUUGGUUCCAUAGCAAACCUCAGCAUGAUUGUCCAAGCUGGGCUGAAAGGUCAAGACUAUAGGAAACGCCUGCCUUCAGGGGCGACUGAGCAGAUGGCUCUGGAAUGUUCCUCUCUGAGACACGCCUACCUUUUCUGCAAACUACAUAAAAAUAUUUAGAAAAAAAUAAGACAUUUGCAUAAAAGAAGUACAAGACAUACACUGAAAACUGUACAGCAUGGACAAAAAAAAAUCAGAUGCCUACGUGAGUGUAAAUGUAGCUGUGUGCACAGAGGGGGACGAGGAAGACGACAGUCCAUAUCCAGCUCCACCCCUAAGAGCCUUUCUGCCUUUCUGCUGUUUAUAGAAAAUGAAUGAAAAGUUCGGCUUGCUUCCUUGCAUCUGGAACUCCUGGGUCGGUAGUGUCUGCAGAGUCAGGGCAGGCACGAUGUCUGAAGCAAUGCCCUCUUUGUUGGAUUUUCCAGGCUCUGAGCACCACUCAGCUGUUUCUUUCCCAGGAGAGUUUUUUCAUACUGGAGACUUUGGACACAAAGUGUGAUACAUAUUGUCACCAUCCUAACACUGCUCCUCCCAGACCACCCAUUUUCUAGUUAAGGACUCCUCAUCUUAGAGGAACUUAGUAGGACAGAAGUUUCAGCCAGGAAGAACUACCAGGUCAGCUCCACGUCCCCACCUGAACCUGUGAGAUAACCACCUCCUCUCCCAAGCCUGCCUUUGACAUGAGGAAAAGCCACGUAGGAAGAUGACGACUUCUCCAAGAACUUAAAUGGAAGAGGCCUUAGCACCCAGGCCUUAUCCCUUAGGUCAUCCUUCGUUCCAGUGAAAGGAAACUUUGCUCCCCGUUAUUCUGGAAAGUUACUGACUUGAGCACUAGGGAUAAGCAGCUGGGUGGCUUGAGAUAGAACUGUCAAAACCAACAACUAAUCAUGGUUCAGAGCACGUGGACAUUUCAACAGGAGCCUGGAGGAGAAGGCAGGGCUUCUUUCCUCAACUGCACAAAUUAAAUAACACAGAACUCCAUCCAAUCCAGAUUUUACCUGCCAUUAAGUAAUAAGUGGAUUGGAAACAUUUUUUUUUUUUUUGAGACGGUCUUGCAGUAUAUCCCUACCUGCCAUGGGACAUACAGUAAACCAGGCUGGCCUUGAACUUUCAGCAACCGCCUGCCAAUGUCUCCUGAGCUGGAAUUAUACAUUCGGGCCUUAACCGGACUUGACUUCAGGGAUGGUACCAGCAUUCUCACCCAGGCAGGGGCGGCCAGUAUUGGGCCGUGCCCAAGGAUGCUGUGAGGCAGGACAGUCUGUGCUAUGAUGUUCUCAGGGACUAUGGGUGGGCCCCUCUCACAGAUCUCACACCCAGGCUCCCUGGGGCCCUAGAUGAGAAUUAGUCAAGACUGUUAAGACAGUCAAGCUUUUUGCUCCUGGCAAUCCCAGCAGAAGAAGGCGAAUUUUCUGCAUGAAGUUGAACUGGAGUCCCACACCGAACUUCCCUCAGCCAGGUCCUAAGACUUCUGAAGGCUUGCUGGGGAACAGCGUCUCCUCAAAGCAGGGAGGAUCACCCCAGGAUUCCCAGGCCAGGAGCCUCACAAAACCCCCCAGCACAAAAUAAAUCUUCCUUUAAAAGUUUGGGGCACAGGGUGGAAGCUAGAGAGACAGUUCAGCAGUUAAGAUACAGGCAACUCUUGCAGAGGAUACAAGUUCAGUUGCUGACACAUUAGGUGGCUCACAGCGUACCUCCAGCUCUGGUAGACUCAACCCGCUCCUGGCCUCUGCUGGCACUUCCCUUGUGCGUACAUACCUACACACAGAAACAAAACUAAAGCUAAAAUAAAUCUUUAAAAAUCCCCUAAACCAGCCAGGCAUAGCACUGUACACCUUUAAUCCCAGCACUUGGGAGGCAGAGGCAGGCAGAUCUCUAAGUUUGAGUCCAGCCUGGUCUACAGAGUAAGUUCCAGGACAGCCAGGGUUACACAGAGCAACUCUGUCUUGAAAAACCGAAACCAAACCAAACCAAAAAAAGAAAAAAGAAGAAAAGAAAAGAACCCCCCCCCCAAACCCGAGCAGCCCAUAGUCCCUGAGAACAUCAUAGCACAGACUGUCCUGCCUCACAGCAUCCUUGGGCACGGCCCAAUACUGGCCACCCCUGUCUGGGUGAGAAUGCGGGUACUGUCCCUGAAGUCAAGUCCGGUUAAGGCCUGAGUGUAUAAUUCCAGCUCUCAGGAGACAUGGGAAAAAGACUGCCUGAGCCAACCUUGGUAUCUUUGUAGGAUAAUUUGAAUUCUCCUUGAAAGUCUCAAAGCUCCUCCAAGGUACUGAGCUCCCACCAGCAAGAGAGCCCACACUGCUUAUUUGUAGUGGAGGCUCUGGAGUUGCACACUUGUGUGAGGUCUCCUCAUCCAGGGUAGCAGGAGACUCCUCAGAGGGUACAGUCACCACCCUUCCCAGAAAGUACCCUCUGUUUUCUCUCAUGAACCCUUUUCUAGGCACGCAGCCAGGAGACCGUCCUCCCCAGGAAACCAUGGCAACUACAGACCUCGGAGGAACACUGCCUCAUGUGUCAUCAUUGUAAAAAAUUAAUGCUUCAAAUCGACUGUUAGGGUGUUUACCCAGAGCAACUCGGACAUCCCAUCAGUCUUUGCAGAGCAACAAGAGCUCGCCGGAAUUGUUAACUUCGAUGGGUUCCCGUGGAUCCGAGUGGAGCGGGGAGGUCUGGACCUGGCUGCCUGCUUGCUGAGUCAGAGCAGGCCUGGUCACUGACACAGGCUACCCCCUGGGCCAUAACUGCCCCUUUCCUCUGGAGAAGAGGACAGAGAGACACCUGCACAGAGUCACAGAUCACAGGGCUAGAAGAGGGCCUGCAGGAUCUGAUAAUCACUUCCUCCCCUUUCCCUCCUCCCUGCUUCCUGCUUCCUGAGUCCUCCUUCCCCCUCUCAUCCUCUUUCUCCCCCUCUCAUUCCCCUUGUUUCCUCUACGUUUUCUUCCUCACCACCACCAUCUCCACCCCACCCCACCCCCUUAUCUUUCUUUUCCCACACACUGAGAAGCAGGAUUUAGGAAUAUCUAAUUCAACAGUAGAUGGAUAAGUCUGGACCAAGGGUCCAUGAGGUCCAUAAUUGUUUGGAAAGUAUCAUAAACCAUUAUAUACCUAUGUAGAUAUAAAAAUCACACACCCAGAAGCACGCUUCAGAAAAAAAGCCACGCCUUUGCUUAAUUGGAUGAUGCAUUGCUUGUGGUUUAGCUUCUCCUUUGAAUUCCGUGAAGGGAUGUGAGAACAAACACCUUUUCAUCCUCCUGGGCACACAGGCUGAGGUCUGGGCGGGGUGCUGAGGUUUGAGUUGUGUUUGAGGUUAGCAUGGGAGGGAGGGAGGGAGAGUACACAGUAACUCGGGGUUGUCAGCAGGCAUGCAUGUGUGAGCUGCUUUGGGAGCAGCCGGCCAGUCAUCACAAAGACUGGACUCAAACUCAGCAUUUACACCGUGAGUGCUCUCUGUCCGCUAGCUAUACACCCUGUCAAAGGGUCACCUUUGUUGUUCAUAAAGCCAGCCAUCUUUAGGAGCCCAGGUAGCCUUUGACUCACGAGGUGACUGUCUAGUGCAGGGCAGCUCUUUACAGUGUAAGGUUUGCUUGCCCUUGUUUGGCCAGGCUGGACCUCCAGUACGCCUUGCCCUUGCUUCAGUCUCCCAGGUAUAGGAUAAAACAUACAUUUUAAAAUCUGUUUCAUUUUUACUAUGAAGAAUUAGUAUCUCAGUGUAAUAAAUUAUGCUCUACUCCCCGCUUCAGCUUUAAAA